GUGAAACUUGUGUGAGGAGUGGUUCUCAGUGAAUACUUGUAUUUUUAACCCUUCUAAGACAGCGUGGAGAUUAUUUUCGGGACUAUCGUUUGCAACUAAUUGUAUUAGAAUAGUAAAAGUACGCGGUUACAACAAAAAUUAUUGUUGAAAUGUAAAAAUACGUCGCACGUCCUAGAAGGGUUAAGUUAAGCAAAAGUGAUAUAAAUAUCUUGUACAAAUGGUUGACUUCGAAGGAUGGACCUAUGACAUGGAGCUGAAUGGGAUGUGUCAAUGGGACAGGAGCCAAUUUUACUUCUAAAGACGCCAAUUCUUUGCCAUAUUGUAAUAUAUUCAUGAAAGCUGUUGACUUCGAAGGACGGACAUAUGACAUGGAGCUGAAUGGGAUGUGCCAAUGGGACAGGACGCCAAUGGAAUAGGACGUCAAUUCUAUGCCAUAUUGUAACAUAUGUAGUCAUGAAAACUCACAUAAUGUUGGAAAUGACUACAACCUUUUGAAGAUAAAUUGUAAUAUACCAACUGUUUAUGAAGGUAUAAUAUGGAUUUAUUUUCUUCAAUUCCUAAGAAAGGAGGGAUUUCUGUAAUUGCUGCUUUCCAAAACGUAAUUUCCGUUGAGUGAUGUCAAAAUUAUAGAAUAUAAUACAUUAAGUUACUUGCAACAUAACUGCACUCCAGCAAAGUGUUAACUACAUCUGUUUCCAAUAUAUUGAAGAUAUUCCUAUUUACCUGAUUAUAAUUGAAACUGGGACACCUGAGAAUCUUCGAAACAAGGAACAUUAUUUUUGUCGAUAUUGCCGUGAAAUGAAGCCAACAAUGGAUGUAUCCGUGCGAGAGGGGUUACAUUUUCGGCACAAUCAGGGGCGCGGAAGAUGUUUAUGGAUCGACCUUGAUGCGGAGUUGCAGGGGUGCCGUUAAUGUCCAUGGCCUGCGGCGACAGCGCAGGAUCGGUGAUGUGCCAUGAGGGCUCAGCUUUGUGCAACUCGCGCUGCUCCCAGACGUAACUUCGAUCUCGAACAAGGAAUGUCUCGUGCGUCGGAAGUGACUUCCAGCUCCGCAAAUACACCCUUCUGAUGUCCGGAUAAUACUUGCAGAGAAACAGACGUGUUCAUUCAUAUCUGGUGUAUAAGUGUUUAUUAAUUGGAUCUUCGCAUCAACAAACGUAAGAUUAGUUUUUUUUACUAUGAUGCUAUUUUCCGUAUUUCAAACUAAUGGUCGACUGCUUGGCCCCCCACUCAACUGAUUGCUCCAAUCUGAAAUUAACAAUCCGGAAACUAAAACGUGGGGCGACUAAUUGCUUGGAAAACGUUUGUUCGGCCAGUAAAACGCAACAUUGUUGCUAUUUCACAUUUGCACUUAAAGCUACCACAAAGUUCAAUUAUACAUAGCUUAAGAAAAUAUAAUUAUAUAUAUAUAUGCUAACGCACAAUUUGCACACUUUAUUUGUGGCAAGGUUAUGACGUUUUGUCAUGAAUUUAGAAGUUUGCUCAUUCUUAAGGGCGAAACUGCAUUAUUUACAUGAGCGUAUGCAAAUUUUUGGCAUACAUAUUCUUUUUUAUCGCCUAUAGUAUGUUAACAUAAUUAUCUUGUACUUAGGAAAACAUAAUUAUAUAUAUAUAUAUAUGUGCUAACUGUUACAUCGCACAAUUUGCACAUGUUAUUUGUGGCCAGAUUUUGACUUUGUCAUAAUUUAUGCAGAUUACUCAUGUUGAAGAUCUAAAAUUUUACCUUUAUAUGAGGACAAAUUCUUUUUUAUCACCUUAUUAUCUCGAUAAAUGUUCAACUUAGUGGAUAUUAUCUACACAGAAAGAAUUAUUUCUAAUUUUUUGUAUAUCUCAAAACCAUCAUAUUUUAUGCUUGAACCUGGAUAUUUUGUUCAUUGUAAAUGUACUGUAUACAAGUCAUA